rnacentral:lncRNA from 1 species
CUAAAAGUCCUGAUCUUGUAAAUUGCUGUUGCAAAAACAGAGGAGAGAGAAAACACAACACACACAACAGAGUAGUAGAAGAAAGUAGUAGUAAUAAGAGUGUACUCAUUGAUCCUUCUGUCAUAAGCCAAAUUCAACACCAUUUCUUCCAUUUGAGAAAGAAAAAUUGUAGACGAAGAAUCAAGAAGAUCAAGAGGCCAUUGCUUCCCCCCCAAGAUUUCACUUUCUGAAUCUUCUUUUUCUUUCUUUUUUUAUUCUUCUUGCAUUUCCAUUAAAGCUUUCGCAGUUUUCCAUUUCCAUUUACACUUCCCCAAAUUGCCCCCUCGCGGAAAAGCUUCACCAUUUUCUUUCUAU